GUUAUGUGAUCAGUAUUUUCAUGGAAGAAGAAGACACCUUUGAUUUCAUAGGUGGACUUGAUGCUCACUCCUACUACAAGGAUCAUGUUGAGUUAAAGCCUGUUAACCUGUCGAAAUAAGUAAAUGACAUGGACUCUGAAAUGCAACUGCUGAACUUGACUUUAGAAGCAAAGCACCAUUGACAGCUCCUCUCUGCAUCAACACAUCUCACUUUCUUCCAGAGGAUGGACUCCGCCUCCCUGCCUUCCCACAGAUCACAGAGUUCUUCGAUCACAAUCUAUGUAUUAUUAGCAUUGUGUGCUAGAUGAGUUGUAGGUGCUUGGGUGGGUAUUUUUUUAGUCAUUUUCUUCUUAUAUGAGUACUUGUAAAUUGAAAAAAUUGAUUUUUAAUUUUUUUAACAAUAUUUAACAUGGCGCAUGCAAACUGAAAAAAAAAUGCUGUGAAAACCUUCUACAGACAAUUCUAUGAGAAAUAUUGGUUGGUAUUGUUGAGGUGUUAAGUCAAGAUCGCUAAUAGCUGCAGUUCUCUUAGGCCUAAUGGAGUUUGCAUUAGCAGACAUUACUUGGGGUUACUAGAAAGGACGUUAGAUGCUGUGACAGCUGAUGCAUGGGUACAAAUAAUGGAUCUGGCUUUCAAAUGGAGCAUGGAUCAUUUUUGCAGCAUCACAAGCCAAAACAUGCAGCCUCCCUUGGUUCUCAGCUUCCCAAAAUCCAGAACACUAUGAUGGCAAUCUAAAUUUUCAGAUCCUUACAGAUAUCUUGUUCUUCUUAUGUUCUGAAAAAAUGUAGCUCAUGGGUGUAUGGAAGAGUGAAAUGCUUAGUAGAAAACCUUUCCCCCUUGGAGGGAAUGUGGGUAUCUCUGAGAUUCGUAUUUUCUGCUCUUUAUCCCAGUCCUGACACUGGUGUCAGACCUAAACCACAGCGUGUGGGCAGGUGGGACAGAAAUCGCAACCAUCAAUCUGUAAUCGGGAAUGUUGCUCUGAAGACAUUCAAAAGGAGCAUUAAAAUGUUGUGGAAUUCUCUAUAAAUACUUCAAAAGAAGGUAUUUAUAUUUGUUCUACAUCAACUUUUCUUUCUCCUACCCCAUCCCAAUAACCAAGAAAGUAAUAUCAGAAACAUCAUUUGCAAUGGGAAAAAAAAAGACUGUCUUGAAAACCCAUCAUAGUUUUUUUCAUUUCUAUCUUUGAAUUACUACUUCUCACAUCAAAAUAAGUUUUACUCACUUUGUAUAAUAACCAAGAUGAGACCUCUAUAGGCCGCAGAAUGCGGUAGACUUGCACUAUUUAAUCCAGGAGUUGUGGACUUGGCCCAUACAUCUCUAAGAAGUCAGUCUACAAACCACCUAAAAUUGUAUGCAAAUUUCUGUAUGUAUGUCGAGGUUCCUUUUUUCUUCUUCUUUUUGAAGUCCACAUAUUUUAUGAGACUCGUUUAAGAAUCAGAACUUAUACAACCAAGUCUGCCUGGUUUCUCCCGGUUCAUGGCAACUGCUGUGGCCUGUCUGGGGGCCUGUCUUACUCAUUAGCCUCUGGCUUGUGCUGCUCCAGUCAGCUGACACCCACUGAAUCUCACCACUUUUCAUUCUACUGAAAAAACCCAAAUUCAAAAUGAAGAAGAACGAACAGGGACCUGGGAGAUGGUCAAAUCCAAGCCACCAUGGCAAGUGAGGGACCUGAAGCGUAGGGGACGUAGGGGACUCAUCCAGAGUCCUGCCUGUGCACAGAGGAACAGAGCUACAGCCGAAGGAAGGAGGGCUUGGAAGGCAAACGGUGGGAUUUGGCUCCCAGGUCCCUCGCUGUGUCCUUGGACUGUGUUGGACAUCUCAGCCUUGAGUUUUUCUCAUCUACCAAGUGGGACUAUACUCCCUUACCUCCCAGGGGUGAGGGGAGGGUUAGAUAAAAAUGUAAACAAACACUCUCUAAACUGUGAAGCACUCCAUAACUGAAAGAGGCUGUCAUAAUUAUAAUGUCAGAAGAGCAAGUUGGACCCAGUCCGGAGCUCUUGGGUUGCACUCCAGUGCUGUGCAAAACCCAUGGAAACACCAAACUCCUAAGUUUUCUAAAGAGUAGCUUGAAAAAUUGCCGACGGUUAAGUGAUUAGUACUAAUGCAGACUACAAAUCGCAUUUCUUAAUUAAAAAAUAACUUUUACAUUCAAAUUCCAAGACUAAUAUUAUUAUGGAGAAGGCUACUAGAACAUCAAAAACGUAGAAAUUCAGUCAGAAGAAUAAAAUUAAUAUUUAAAUAUCUUAAACUGUCUUUCCAUUGCCCCCACACGCACAAACAAAACCUAGUUAACGUUUUAUAAAAUAGUACCAUACUAACUUUUGUUGCUGUUUUAUCUUCGUUUGUAAACUUCUGCAUACUUCUAAGAUGCACACGGCCAUGGAUCAUAUCUACCCUGCAAGUAACAGAUUUGAGGGGGAAAUCCUUACGUUAGUGGUUUUUGUAUGGAAAUUUAACAAAGGCAACUACAGAACAUGGUAUGUGUGUUUUGGUUUUUAAACUUUCUUCAUUUAAAUAAUUAAGUUAUAUUUGUUUCAAGUCCCAAGUUCAGGAAUUCAUAAUGAUAAUUGUGAAGUUCCAGAAAAUUUGCCAUUCGUCAGAAACAAGUUAGAGAGAUCUUUCUCUCCUUCCCAUGUUUCUUCUCCCUAUCUCUCCUCUUCCUGGCUACUAAUUAGAGGUUCUGCUUACUUACAACAAAGCGUUGAAAAGGGUGAAGAAUUGUGAGAUGACACUCGGCAGGUACCCCUGAUCCGGGUGACUCUGAUGUAGUAUUGUCACAUGUCACAGGUGCUGCUCUUAAAGUGUGAGCCUUUCCAGUUCUUGCAGCUUUUGCUUCUGUUUUAGGGAAUCCACUCUGCACUGUGCAUCACAUAGUAGGGCUUUCAAAAAGACACAUUCACUGUCUUUACAUUCUUGCCAAAUCUUGGCUUCUCCAUAUGCAAGUGUGUGUCUGGUCAGAGGAAGGGAAAAUGAAUGCAUCUCUUCGCCUGUACUCAUUUGCCAGAACCUCGCUCAACAUCCUAAGAGGUUCAAGUGCUCUUCUCAGAGGUGGUCCUGGUAAAGCUGAACAUAGGACAUUCACUGCCCGUGAACCCCUAGUUCUGACUGGAGUGUAGAAGGGGAAAGGUAAAACCAAUGUUUUUCCCUCUUUAAACCUCUUUGGCAUUGUGUCUUGUAAGCCUUAGCCAACUCUGCCCUAGGCUGUGUCUUCUAUCUUGUGAUGAUGACUUAUCCUUUCCUAAGUGUCUCCUGCUGACAUUGUGCGGAGCCACAGACAGCUAGGAUGCUUUCCAGUUUACCUUCUAUUUAUUUCAGCUUCCAGUCAUGUUUCAAAGCCACAAAAGUUAAGCAGGGGAGUUACAGGGGAUGGGGGAUUAGAGAAUUUCCAGGGGACAAAACAUCUUGGGGUGUGGAACAGUCUAUAUCAGAGAAAUAUCAACCACUUCUUUCAGGAAAAGCUCUAAGCUAGUUUGUCCCCAAGUAUCUUAGCCUUUCACUGGCAGUAUAAUAUGGGGUAUGUGGGCCUGAAAUGAAAGCAUAUGUCCCUACCACUCCAAAUCUGAGAGGCUGUUGGCUCACUUGUUUUGAAGAUAACUUGACAUCUCGGCCUAGCAAAAUAUUGACUUCUUCCUUUUUUCCUUCAGAAAAAUAAGCCCUGCUAUUUUCUAUAGACCUAAAUAAGGGACGCAGCAAGUAUCAAGGGACUGGAUCUAACAAAAUAUAGCAAGGCUGCCAGCUGUCUCACUGAAUGAAUGGGACAGUCAUGAUUGAGAAGAAUUUGUCUUCAUUAGAACCAGCUAAAAUGUACCUUGAAAAGCUGAGGAAAACCAUCAUGACUCUGCUAAAUUGAGAAUCAAAUAAAAGCCAAAGUUGCUCUUUUCAGCCUUUGCAAAUUAGAAAAGAAUCUUGCCAAGAAUAAACUCAUCUUUAUUUUAGACCAAAUUAAAAUUUUAUAGUAUCCAAAAAUGUGGACUCACUACGAAAUGAAUAUUCUGGCUAAUUAUUUCUUAAAGCAAACAUUCACUUAUCAUUCUGACUACUUUAGUUUGUAACUAGAACUUUUACAGUGGAUUAGAAUUCAAAUGUGCUAGCGCUUGACAUUUUAGUUGCUUUCAAGGGAUAACUGA